rnacentral:rRNA from 1 species
GACGAACGCUGGCGGCGUGCUUAACACAUGCAAGUCGAACGGAAAGGCCUGCUUUCCCUUGUGGAUUGCGGGUACUCGAGUGGCGAACGGGUGAGUAACACGUGAGUGAUCUGCCCCCAACUUGGGUAUAAGCCUGGGAAACUGGGUCUAAUUCCCGAUAGGACUGCAGGGUGGUGCCUGUGGUGGAAAACGAUUUUCUAGUGGUUGGGGAUGAGCUCGCGGCCUAUCAGCUUGUUGGUGGGGUAAUGGCCUACCAAGGCGGCGACGGGUAGCCGGCCUGAGAGGGUGGACGGCCACAGUGGGACUGAGAUACGGCCCAGACUCCGACGGGAGGCAGCAGUGGGGAAUAUUGCACAAUGGGCGGAAGCCUGAUGCAGCGACGCCGCGUGGGGGAUGACGGCCUUCGGGUUGUAAACUCCUUUCGACCGCGAGGAAGCCACCUGGUUGGAAGGGUGGUGACGGUAGUGGUAGAAGAAGCACCGGCUAACUACGUG